rnacentral:lncRNA from 1 species
CGAUACUUCGACUGUUCGUCGUUUGUUCCACUCACAGAAGCGGUGCCCUAUACAGUAAUUUACCCGGCUCACCUGAGCAAUUCGGCCAAGUGUGGAGGUGAUCGGAGCAAAGAGAAGCGGCGGCAAACAACUGCAGCUCUGUGUUGCACAGUAGACGCGCUUGAUUGGUGCUGGACGAAGGUUCGGCGAAGCUAAUUCAUCCCCUCCCCCACGCUCCUCCUCCUCCGACAAACAGCUGUGCCAGUCCGUUUAGGGAAGACUGCUGUGCUUCCAUUUAGGUAAGUUCCCUUCAGCCAAUAGCUUUGAAUUGAGGUACCCACGCUUCCAUUUUUUUUACUGAAAUCGCAGCAUUCUAGUCAAUAUUUUUUGGAUGCUUUUGUUGAUUACUCCCUGUAUAUGGCGUACUGAUCUCUUGGAUUCUUUAUGAUUUUGGUAUUAAAUAAGCAGCCAUUUUGAGAAAGGCUGUUGAGUUAAUUGCCCUCUGUUGAUUUAUUAUACUUGGUGUCAAUUUCGGACAAAGUUGAAAGCUCUGUGUUGAUUAAUUUGGGUAAUGUGUUAAUUAAUUCUUUAAGAUUGGUCUGUUAGAAUUAAUUUGGGUGCUGAGUUGAUUAAAGGUUUUUCACAAAAAGAUUGCUCUGUGUUGCUCUGUAAUGCGCUGUGUUGCUCUGGGCCAAUGUUGCAAAAAGAUCCUGUUCUUGGUAGGAAGAUGAAACCAAUUGAAUAGGUGUUGUUUGUUAUCUUGUGUAAUAGAUGUCAUUACAUGAAUGCCACUGUAGGUAAGAGAUUAAUGAGAAAAUUCAGAGCAAUUUCUUAAGUAAGUCAGGAAUCUGUUGAAUAAUUUUGAUGCUAGCUUAUGCAGUUCUAUGUAGUGCAACAAAUGAUUCGAGGAAUCAGAAAAUUGUAAGACAAUCUCCAAUACUUUUCGUAGUUCCUUAUUGUCUCCCUUUUCCUUUCUUGUUUGCCGCUAAGGUUGUUACUUUGAAAUAUGCCUAAUUUUGCUGUACAAGUACUGAUAAUAUAGCCAUUCUGACAGAGUAGAGUGUAAAUGUCAAAUCCAAUUUCCAUCAAUUGACCACUAAUUACACGAAUGCCUUUCCCUGCUUGGUAUGACUGACUGAUUGCAACGAAUUUGUUCCACCAAAGAGCUUGCUUCUUCAAGUUCUGUUUUUUGAGUAAGUUCAAAUGUAUUUUGGGUGCAUUGACCGUUAAAAUUCAUACUGAAGGUGUAAAUUAAAAACUGAACGAUGUAGUAGGGAAGCAUAAUUACCUCUGUAUGUCAUUUUCGUUAAGUAUUGAUGAAUUCAGAUGUGCAUACUCAACUUUUCCAGGCUCGGCAAUCUUUCUUUAUUCAAACUGUUCUGAAUCUCUAGGCCGAUUGUCACAAAGAAAACUGGCAGCUCUCGGUCAUAUUUGACAUUUGAGUUCUUUCAAUCUGAUUCUUUGUUGUUUGUAGAAUUCUAGGCAAUGUGCUUUUUACCACAUUGAUUAAAUAAUUAAUUACAGAGCAAUCAUUGUAAGACAUUGCUCUGUGUUGAUUAAUUCUUUUUACAACAAUAUAUUUAAAUCUUUAAUGCAAUCUUUUUUGAAUUAAUUCUUUUUAGCACAUUGCUCUGUGUUGAUUAUAAGAGUUUUUUCUGGUCAUUGGAUGGACCAUUUUUGAGGAAUAUGUAACGCAAAAAAGGAAAAAGGAAAUCUGGUAUUUUAAUUAAGAAUAUCUGUUGGUUUGAAGUGGUUCAAUGGCCAUUUUUUUACUGUAAGAGCAUUUUCUAUAGCUGCCAUCCAUUUCUAGCUUUGGGAACGAGUCAUAUGAUGCUGCAUUUAAUUAAAAGAAACUGAUUUCUAGAGCAAGUUGGUUGAAUUUGAAAUCAUAUUCCUCUUAUUUUUAUGUUUAAGUUCUGGAAAAAUUUGAUUUUCUCCUCCCUUAACGUGGUGAUGAUUGGCAUUCAAAUUCACAUAAAAAAAAAACUUUUGGAUUUUAAGUUCGAAUUUGAACAUUGCCCUUCCUGAUCGAAAAACUGCUUAUGUGGAUCGUAGCUAUUGAUUUUAAUGCCAAAGUAUAAGCUGGGAAAAAUACAGAGUUGUUACAAGGGCAGUGUAACUUGUCGGAGGUGAAAUAGGUGAAAUAGGGCUAGAGUUGUUACAAGGGCAAUGUAACUUGUCGGAGUUGUUUAAGAAGGUGUUAAAACUCUGAAUUCAUGUAUUCUUUUGACUGCAAAUAGCUAUCUGGUUAUGAACCAGUCAUUCGAAGGAGCACACAAAAAAUUUUUCACCUAAAUUGUGUACUUAUUGAGGCUUUGGUUUAAUUAAUCCAUGAGUAGUAGUAAUAUUUUUCAUGCCUUCAUUUGAUUUAGGUGAAAUAGGGGGUUAGCGGAAUUAGUGCAAAUUCUAUUGUUUGCUUUUUAAUAUUUUGAAUGUCGAAUUUCAUUUCUUUCUUGCACGUAUUUUUCUGUUCUAUUAUAGAGGUAGAUAAUUUUGCUGAAUUCCAAAAUUUGAGAUAUAGGUAUACAUUCUUUUGUUAACAGGUUUAUGCCGCCACGCACUAGAUCUAUUUCUAGAGGUUUGUUUUGGGGGUAGAAUUUUUUUUCUUUGCAUGUUGGACUGUUAAGAAUUGUAAGGGCUAAUAUUCACUUUUGCUCACAGUCGGAAAACUCAUACUUGCUGGUUCUGUUAGCACUGCUUGGUCUGAGUAUGGAGAGAACGACUUACAGCUUUGCAUCACCAAUUACUUCAAGGUAUUAUUGAAUUCGUCUCUUUUUCCAACCCCGUCACUAAUAUAUUGAAUUAACUAUUUUGUAUGCCCUUGAUUUUCAUGGCUGCCCUGGUUGUUCAUUGGUAUUAUUUGCACGUGAUUCAUCUGUAUUACUUCAAUAUUGCUCUAUAUUGGAAGUGGGGCUAUAGAUGCCAUUCAAUUUCUGUUUAGCAUCUUUAAUAGUCAAUUUUCGCUAAUCUUAUUUGUCCUAUAUAAAGCGUAAAAAACCAAUGGCUGGUAAGGUUGGUUCAUCAAGGUAAGGUCGAGCCCAAUUUCCAAUGGAGCGAGAGCUUGAAUUUGUGGAGUACUUGGUUGAGUUAUUAAUUAUGCUAAAAAGUCUAUUUUUCAUAUAUUUCAUUGAUCUAUUUAUACAAGUAACUAGGUUAAAUGGUCAGCCAUGUACAGCUGUAUAUAGUCUGUAAUUACAGACUAUAUACAGCUGUAUUCUUAGACUAAUUACAGCAGCUAUCUUAGACUAAUUACAUAGCUGUAUUCUUAGACUAAUUUCAGCAGCUAUCUUAGACUAAUUACAUAGUUGUAUUCUUAGACUAAUUACAGCUAAUUCCUACCAACUCUCCCCCUCAAGUUGGGGCAUAGAUAUCACAAAUGCCCAACUUGGAUAGAGAUGCAUUGAAUAAGUUACUAGUAACAGCAUGAGUCAUAAUAUCAGCCAACUGAUCUGAACUUCUAGUAUAGGGAAUUUCAAUUGUCCCUGAAUCAAGAUUAUCUUUGAUGUAGCUCCUAUCAAUUUCAACAUGCUUUGUCCGAUCAUGUUGAACAGGAUUAUUUGCAAUCUUAAUGGCUGCCAUAUUAUCACAAAAUAAUACCAUAGGACCUUUUGGACCAAACCCAAUCUCCUUUAAGAGAAUUUUCAGCCAAGAGAGUUCUGUGAUAGCAUGAUGCAUAGCUCGAUAUUCAGCCUCUGCACUAGAUAAUGAAACCACGUUCUGUUUUUUACUUUUCCAAGACACCAAGUUGCCUCCAACAAAAGCCAAAUAUCCAGAAGUUGAUUUUCUAUCUAACUUGCUACCAGCAAAAUCAGAGUCUGUAUAUCCAACAACAUCAAAAUGUUCGUGUUUGGAGAAUAAGACACCUUUUCCUGGAGCUAAUUUCAAGUAAGCCAAGAUUCGAUUAACAGCAUUCAUGUGUUGAUCACUUGGAUUGUGCAUAAACUGGCUAAUAACACUGACUGCAUAUGCUAAAUCUGGCCUGGUAUGAGUUAAAUAGAUUAGUCUACCCACGAUCCUUUGAUAUCUUUCCUUGUUUGUUGGAAUCUGAUCAGAAAAGAAGGCUAGGCCAUGAUUCACUUCAAUCGGAGUAUCUAUCGGCUCACACGCAGACAUACCAGUUUCAGCUAGGAGUUCCAAUGUAUACUUCCUUUGGGAAAGGAAGAGUCCUUGCUUAGACCGUGAUACUUCAAUGCCAAGAAAAUAUUUAAGAGUCCCCAAAUCUUUAAUCUCAAAUUCUUUGGCCAAGUAGCUUCGAAGGUUCUCUAUUUCUUCUUUGUUAUUACCUGUUACAAUCAUAUCAUCAACAUAGACAAGAAGUAUGGUAAUAUCAUUGUAGUUACGUUUAUAGAACAGCGUGUGAUCUGCUGAAGCUUGCUUGAAUCCAUACUCCUCCAUGGCAUGACUCAAUCUUCCAAACCAUGCCCUUGGUGAUUGUUUUAAUCCAUACAAUGCCUUUUUCAGUCUGCAUACCUUUCCUUCUUCUAGUGUAAACCCUUGAGGAGGAUCCAUGAAAACUUCCUCAGUCAACUCACCAUGAAGAAAGGCAUUCUUCACAUCAAAUUGUCGUAGAGGCCAGUCUAAAUUAACUGCAAGUGACAAUAUGGCUCGAACAGUGUUCAUCUUGGCAACCGGUGCAAAUGUCUCUUGAUAGUCAAUACCAUAGGUUUGAGUGUAGCCUUUUGCAACCAGUCUAGCUUUGUAUCUUUCAACUGCCCCAUCAGACUUGUGUUUGACAUUGAAUACCCAUUUACACCCUACGGUCUUCUUUCCCAUUGGUAACUCAACCAUUUCCCAAGUAGAAUUCUUUUGGAGAGCCAUCACAAAGCUAGACUGGUUGCAAAAGGCUACACUCAAACCUAUGGUAUUGACUAUCAAGAGACAUUUGCACCCUACGGUCUUCUUUCCCAUUGGUAACUCAACCAUUUCCCAAGUAGAAUUCUUUUGGAGAGCCAUCAUUUCUUCUACCAUUGCAUUUUUCCACUUAGGAUCAUCAAGGGCUUCCUGAAAAUGACUAGGAACAUAUACAGAAGACAACUGAAGAGCAAAUGUCAAGUUAGCCUUAGACAAACGGUGAUAGGAUAUAAAAUCAGAAAUUGGAUAAGAAACAUUGGAAGCUUUUGAAAAACCAAGUCUAUCAGGUUCUUUUCGUUCACGAAGAGGAUAUCUUCUAUUCUGAUCAAUAUUAGGAUAUGAGUCGAGACUUUCAGAAGAAGUACAUACCUUAGUGUCAAUCUUGGAAGAUUCAUUCGAUAGCAUGGUAGUAUCAACAAGGGAGGUACUAUCAUUAAGGGAGGUACAAGAAUCAGGAGGCAUAACAGUGGUAUCUUUUGUUCUCCUAGAAUAUCCUUUCCCAAAGAGAUGAACGGGUCUCUCACUAUUAGUUUCAAUUUUAUUUUCCUGACCAUCAUCUAAAACUAAGGAUUCCCCGUUUUCCUUUGCAUUCUCUAUACUUGAGAUCCAAAUCCUUUUUUCUCCUAGCCAUUGUUCUUCCUCUUCUCUACUUUUAAUCUCCCCCUGAAGAGGAACUGUAGACAUAUGUCCAGAAAAAUAAGACUCAUUUUCAUAAAAUUGAACAUCCAUAGACACAUAGUAGGUUCUUGUAGGAGGAUGAAAACAUUUAUAUCCCUUUUGUGAAUUAGAAUAGCCAAGGAAAACACAUUUGAUAGCACGAGGAUCAAGUUUAUCUCUAUGAUGAGAAUGAACAUGAACAUAGCAUACACAACCAAAAACCUUUGGACAAAUAUUAAGAGCAGAAGGAAUAGAAUGAAAUUUAGAUAACAUUCUCAAAGGGGUUUGGAAAUCAAUAACCUUAGCAGGCAUUCGAUUAAUGAGGAAAACAGCAGCCAUAAUAGCUUCAGCCCAAAAAUGUUUUGGAACAUGCAUAGUAAAACAUAAGGCUCGUGCUACUUCAAGAAAGUGACGAUUUUUCCGUUCUGCUGUGCUAUUCUGCUGGGGUGUGUAAACACAAGUGGUUUGAUGAAGAAUGCCAUGUUGUAUCAUAAAAUCAGCAAGAGAUCGAUUCACAAAUUCACGACCAUUAUCAGAAUGAAAAACCUUAAUUUUAGUGUUGAAUUGAGUAAGAAUCAUGUUAUAAAACUGAGGAAUAAUAUGACAAACAUCACUCUUAGAUUUCAUCAAAUAUACCCAACUGACUCUAGUACAGUCAUCAAUAAAAGAUACAAAAUAUUUAUGUCUUGAAGUAGAAGUAGUUGAGAAAGGACCCCACACAUCAGUAUAAACACAUGAAAAAGGAGUGACACUUUUAUUAAAACUAACUUUGAAAGGAACACGAUGGUUUUUUGCAUAAACACAUUGUUCACAUCUUAAGCUAGAAGUUGAAAUAUUGGAAAAUAACUUAGGAAACAUAUGCUCUAAAUAAGAAAAAGAUGGAUGUCCUAGUCGACGAUGCCACAGGAUUAUUCUUUCUAUUUCUAAUGUCCCACUUUUUGUUUGAAGACCUCGAGCAGAUAUUGUUAUGCCUUGAUUGUCUUCCCAGUAAUAUAAACCAUCCCUCUCCUUACCAAUGCCAAUCGUCAUCUUCGUAAGAUUGUCCUGAAAAACACAAUGAGUAGAGUGAAAAAUGACAGAACAGUUAAGAUGCUUUGUUAUUUUACUAAUGGAGAGGAGAUUAUUUGAGAGUUUAGGUGCAAGUAAAACAGAGGACAUAGAAAACUUUGGUGAAAGAGACACAUUUCCAGCGGCUAUGAUUGGUGUAAAAUUUCCAUUAGCAACCUGUACAGACUUCACAGGUGGAGAUGUAAGAGAGUCAAUGAUAGAAGAGUUACUAGUCAUAUGAUCAGUAGCCCCUGAAUCAAUAAUCCAAGUGCUAGGAUGAGCAGAAAUAACGGACAAACCAAAAAUACCUUCUUGAGAAGAUGCCCGAGACACAUGGGAAGCAGAAGAUGGAGUAGUGUCUAUGGCAGCAACGUUUUGAGCAACAGUAUUAUGAGCAAAUUUUUUAUUUUUCCUCUCAGCUUGCUUAAGUUUAUACCAUUCUGGAUAGCCAUGCUUCUUCCAACAAACAUCAAUUGUAUGUGUAUUCUUAUUGCAGUAGGUGCAAAAUCGAGACUGAGAAGCUAUAGAAUUUCCAUUAAUGGUAAUAGGAGUGCUCUUUUGAAUAGUUAGAGCUGAAGCCUCAAAGUGUGAUUCUGCUCCCAUGGCAACUUGUCUUUGUAGUUCUCGACGAACCAUGGAGUAGACUUCUUCUAAUCUUGGUAAAGGAGAAGUACUUAGAACACGGCUGCGAACUUGAUCUAACUUAUUAUCAAGCCCAGCAAGAAAAAUAUAAACUCGAUCUUCGGCAAUACGAUUUCUAUAUUUUUCCAUAUCAGCAGCACAUGUCAUGUCAUUGGGCCGUCGAUAAUCGAGCUCCAUAAAGGUUGAGUUUAAUUCGUUGUAAUAUUCUGCUAGAGGCCGACCAUCUUGUUGUAAAUGAAAAGUCUUCUUCAUUAGCUCAUAAACUUCAGAGGAAUCUGAUACAUCAAGGUAACUUCUUUUUACAGCAUCCCAAACUUCCUUUGAUGUGCCGCAUUGUACAAAGUGAGAUAUCAGAUUAUCACUCAUUGAAUUAAUGAGCCAAGAUUUGACAAGAGAAUCUUCAGCUUCCCAUUCAUCAUAACUUGAAUCAUCUACUGCUGGUGCAGCUUUUUUUCCAUUAAUAUAGUCCAUUUUUUUCCUUCCAGCAAUAUGCAUCUCCAAAAUCUUGGACCAAACUCGAUAAUUAGUGCCAUCCAAUUUAAUGUAGAUGGAAGAAGAAGCAUCUUGUAUGGUUAGAGUGGAGAGAUUCUUGCUGUUAGGAGAUUCAACAUCAGGUUUGGUUGACAUAUUGUGAUGUGAUUAGUGUUUUAGAGAAGAAAUUUCAGUAGUGUGGGCUAUUGAAAGAAUGGCUGGAAUCUUCAGAGAAGAGGAGAGCAAGGAAAAAACCCCAAUGCUCUGAUACCAAGUUAUUAAUUAUGCUAAAAAGUCUAUUUUUCAUAUAUUUCAUUGAUCUAUUUAUACAAGUAACUAGGUUAAAUGGUCAGCCAUGUACAGCUGUAUAUAGUCUGUAAUUACAGACUAUAUACAGCUGUAUUCUUAGACUAAUUACAGCAGCUAUCUUAGACUAAUUACAUAGCUGUAUUCUUAGACUAAUUUCAGCAGCUAUCUUAGACUAAUUACAUAGUUGUAUUCUUAGACUAAUUACAGCUAAUUCCUACCAACUGGUUGAAUUUAAACGGGCUAAUAGAAUGAAUAAGGGUAAUUUAAAGAGUGAGGUGUUCCCGGCAAUUGUUGAUAAAUUUGCCAAAAAAGGAUGCCACUUUGAUCCAGUUCAAAUCAAGGCGAAGUAUUAUGCAUUACGCCAUUUGACUCAAGAAUACAAUCGCAUGCGAUUGAGGGUGACUGGGGCCGGAUGGGAUUCCCUCCUUCAGACUGUAACCAUGGACGAAAGCAAAUGGCAAGCUGUGAUUAAGGUACUCCAAUUAAUUUUUUCUUUUGCAUUACAUAAGCUUAUACAGUGUAAAAACUAUUUUUUACCGUCCUUUAUGUUAAUUUUGGUAUUAAAUGUGUAGGAGAAUCCAUCUUUUGAGACUUACCACAACAAAGAUUGCCAUGUCUUCUACAUAUUGUCGGAGGUGUUUGACAAAAUGGAUGCCCAAGGCCAAUAUGCUAGGGACUCAAACCAACCAUCAGUUGACAUCAAUGACGAGAUAAGAGCGAGGCAAAGUCAAGCAUAUGACAAUAUGGGUGGCCAGGGUACGGAGCACGUGGACCUGACUAAUGAUAUGACGCCUCCUAUGCAGUCAAUUGGGAAAUCGGAUGCCAAACAUUCGAAAGGCAAAGGCAAAGGGAAAAGGAAGACUCCAGAAUCUUCAUCCGCCAAAGACAGCGACCUCCCGCCCGGUCUAAGUCGCACCUCAUACAAUAAUGCACUAUCUUGGAUGGAUGUGACCUUUGCUGCCGAUCGGACCAUGUCCCAGAGCGUAGAUGCCCCAUCUCCCCCACCUGCUGCUACUCCAGCUUCUCCUCCUACGAUUUACGUGGAUGAUGACCUGUACUCUG